rfam:Strongylocentrotus purpuratus Contig1239_fixed, whole genome shotgun sequence.
CCCAGAUGAUGUUUAUCUGUACCUGAAUUCAUUGAAUAUGGAGGAUAACAAUACUGAUUUAAUGAGACUGAUGG